AAAGUCGUAACAAGGUUUCCGUAGGUGAACCUGCGGAAGGAUCAUUAAAAAUCCAAAACAACCCGUUGAAACGUUUGCCUUUCCUUUGAGAGGGACCCUUGGUACGAACCAAGAGAGGAAAAAGUCGUCUCUCACAGGAUGUAAAAAUGCAAGGUUUCCUUCUUCGAUUGAAGAGUGCUUCCUUGAAUAAACUUCCUAACAUUGCAAGCCCUUUCUGGAAUGGGUUUUGGACAAUGGAACGGUGAGUCCUUUGACCUUAAAGAGUCAAUUGGUUUGGGAGCCAUUUGACUUUUGGUCCUGACCAAGGAAAGUGCGCUAGUCAUUCUAUGAGACAAUUGUAUCUAGGCACUGGGGGAAAACAACUUUUAACAAUGGAUCUCUAGGCUCUU
rnacentral:misc_RNA from 1 species